UACAGAGGGGGCAAGCGUUGUUCGGAAUUACUGGGCGUAAAGGGCGCGUAGGCGGCCUGUUAAGUCGGACGUGAAAUCCCCGGGCUCAACCCGGGAACUGCGUCCGAUACUGGCAGGCUUGAAUCCGGGAGAGGGAUGUGGAAUUCCAGGUGUAGCGGUGAAAUGCGUAGAUAUCAGGAAGAACACCCGUGGCUAAGGCGGUUCUCUAGUACGGUACUGACGCUGAGACGCGAAAGCGUGGGGAGCGAACAGG
rnacentral:rRNA from 1 species